UACGUAGGUGGCAAGCGUUGUCCGGAUUUACUGGGCGUAAAGGGCGUGCAGGCGGUUUGUUAAGUGCAGGGUGAAAGCUCCCGGCUCAACUGGGAGAGGUCCUUGCAUACUGGCGAACUCGAGGGAGGCAGAGGAAAGUGGAAUUCCCGGUGUAGUGGUGAUAUGCGUAGAUAUCGGGAGGAACACCUGUGGCGAAGGCGGCUUUCUGGGCCUUACCUGACGCUGAGGCGCGAAAGCCAGGGGAGCAAACGGG
rnacentral:rRNA from 1 species